rnacentral:rRNA from 1 species
UACGAAGGGGGCUAGCGUUGUUCGGAUUUACUGGGCGUAAAGCGCACGUCGGCGGAUCGUUAAGUCGGGGGUGAAAUCCUGGAGCUCAACUCCAGAACUGCCUUCGAUACUGGCGAUCUUGAGUCCGGAAGAGGUGAGUGGAACUCCUAGUGUAGAGGUGGAAUUCGUAGAUAUUAGGAAGAACACCAGUGGCGAAGGCGGCUCACUGGUCCGGUACUGACGCUGAGGUGCGAAAGCGUGGGGAGCAAACAGG